rnacentral:rRNA from 1 species
AGUGAACGCUGGCGGUAUGCCUAACACAUGCAAGUCGAACGGCAGCACAGUAAGAGCUUGCUCGUACGGGUGGCGAGUGGCGGACGGGUGAGGAAUACAUCGGAAUCUACUUUUUCGUGGGGGAUAACGUAGGGAAACUUACGCGAAUACCGCAGACGACCUACGGGUGAAAGCAGGGGAUCUUCGGACCUUUCGCGUUUGAAUGAGCCGUUGUCGGAUUAGCUAGUUGGCGGGGUAAAGGCCCACCAAGGCGACGAUCCGUAGCUGGUAUGAGAGGAUGAGAGGCCGCACUGGAACGUAGCCAGGGACCAGAGGACUAAGGGAGGGAGCAGAGGCGAAUAUUGGACAAUGGGCGCGAGCAUGAUCCAGCGAUAGCGAGCGGGUGAAAGAGGCCUUGGGGUAGUAAAGACCGCUUGUUGGGAAAAAAAAGCAGCCAGUUAAUAACAAGCUGUACUGACGGUACCUAAAGAAUAAGCACCGGCUAACUACGUG